rnacentral:lncRNA from 1 species
AUGAACCCUCCCCUACAGACGGCACCAGACCCGACGUCCGGCACUGAGGCGAGCUCCGUCCCGGGCAGGGCAAGCAGAGCUCUCACCUCCAACAUUCCAGACCUCAUGCCUCUACUCAUCCCGCCCAGAAUCCCACCGCGUGUAAGGCAACCGCAGUGCGAGUCUGAAUCCAGCUCACGGUCAACGUCAGAGCUGCGAUCAGGAUUCUGGGAUGGGACCAAAAGACCCCGUCGCUUAACCACCUGCAGAAGGUGGUCGGGUCGCUCCCCUCUGUCUCGGGCGCGUCCUCUGAGAGCCAGAUGCAGGGCGUCGAGAGGGCGACACGAGCCACGCCCAGGGCGCCAGCCAGGGUGCAUGUUCGCUCUGGUUAUGAACUGGGUCCCGAGCCUUUUCCCAGAAAGCACGCUCUUCUCACGCUGUGCUUGGGCAGCCCGGGGACGCGGGCUGGUGGCACGCGGUGUCCCCACUCGUGCCCCAGCCGAGCCCCCGGGAGGACCGGGUUAUCCCAGGGGCCCCUCUCCACGGGCGGUGAGCUCCCCCGCCUCCAGGGACAGCUGGCCCGGCCGCCAGCCCAGGGCCCCGUCACCCACCCUGGGGGCUCCCGCCCCAAGCAGCUUCUCCCAGCCCCGGAGGGUCCAGCAGCCCGCGCAGCCCUGGCGGCCCAGUCCCCCCGGUACCCCCCGGUCCCCCCGGUCCCCCGGGUCCACACACAGAUGGGCCCCGCCCCACCGACGGCCAGCAGCCCCACGUUGCCACCGUGAGUCGGGGAGCGGCCCGGGGCGGAGCAGGGGCCCCGGGGGAUGUGCGGCUCACCCACAGGCACUGCUGUCCGCGCCACCUGGGCCUUCCCCACAGACGCCCGCCUGGCACGUCCCGCUCCCCGGGACAGCAGCGCAGAGCUGGGCUGGUCGUGACCCUCCACUGCUCACUGUGCGGGGACAGGCCAGCCUCCUCUUCCUCGCUGCCUCUCCCGGGCGCAGUGUGCUCCUUCCCCAGUGCUCGCCAUCCCAGCACCUGCUCCCUGCUCGGCCCCUGCCCGCCGUCGCUCAGCCCCCAACACCCUGGGCCCUGUCCCGCCCUCACGGUCCUGCUCAGACGCACCCUCUGGAGCCCACAUCCGGGUCCAGGUACCACCGCCUGCCACGUGGGUGA